UUCUUUGUGUAGUCGGUCGUUUUCCCGUUUCCCCAUUGGUCCGUUUUGGAUCCUUGCUCCGAUUGGUCGUUUUGAAAUUCAUUCACCCCAUUGGUCCGAGAGUCAAAGCCCGCCACCUCGUUCGCUGUGAAAAGGGAGUGUGGGAGGUCAGUCGGGUGUGGGUUCCAGAGGGCGCAGCGGUGUGCGCCGCCUGAAGAGACCUCGCCGUGGAGAAGCAGCAGCGCCGAGCCGAUGGAGCGGCCGUGCCUGCAGGCGCACGGAGAGCCUCGUGGCUGAGUUGCCCCUGCAACUCUCUUAAAAGAGCGAUCACUGAGGGUGUUGUUGAGCCUUCGGAGCAUAGGGCGCCUUUUUCAAGGCGCCCGGCUCCCGGAUGGUCUCAGCUCCCGAAGAGGCUCCGCGGCCGGGCUGGAGCAGGCAGCGGGCGCGGGCCGAAGGUCCAGAGCUUUGUGUGAGGCAGCAGCAGCAUCGCGGGAGGUGAAGCUGGAUGUCGGCGUUGGAGGUGAUGUGUGCCCGGUGAGCCGUGAGCGCUAGCCAGAAGCCGUUGCUGUCGCUGAAGUCUGACUCGGUGGUGCCAGUCUAAGCCUCCAGGACGUUGUUGCCGUGCAAGAGAGAGUUUGUCUGCCUGUGAUACCAUUCCUUGAAGGAAGGGGAGAAUGUUAGAGCUUUUGGGCCACCUACAUCUUUUGGAUCUUGUCAGCCCGUCGGUUUCCUACGGUUUUCUCCUCUGAGUCUCCU